UAUUUAUGGAAGCUGUUUCAGAGGUAUGUUAUUUGGAUAAUUAAACUGAUAGUUAGAUCAUUCCUAUCUUUGUUGUUUAAUUUUUUUUCAACUUGAGUAAUAGCUUACGUUGUCAAGCAAUAGCCCUCUGUUGCUUUGCACCACAUUUUAGAUUGAUAUGCUAUUGUGAAAAUUCAUGCAGCUUAGUUCCUCUCUUGAAUUAAAAAUUGAGUAUGUUUACUGGUCAUCACUUAAAUAUUUUAUAACUUCAUCUCUUGUGUCAAAUAAAUUAAUUACACGGUG
rnacentral:misc_RNA from 1 species